CUCUUAGAUGUUCUGGGCCGCACGCGCGCUACACUGAUGCAUUCAACGAGUCUAAAACCUGCUCUGAUAGGGGUGGGUAAUCUUUUGAAUGUGCAUCGUGAUUGGGAUAGAUGAUUGCAAUUCUUCAUCUUCAACGAGGAAUGCCUAGUAAACGCAAGUCAUCAGCUUGCAUUGAUUACGUCCCUGCCCUUUGUACACACCGCCCGUCGCUCCUACCGAUUGAAUGAUCCGAUGAAUACCAUGGAUUGAGAGUACGAAUAGGUUCGCUUAUUUCUGCUGCUCGAGAAGUGGGGUAAAUCUUAUCAUUUAGAGGAAGGAGAAGUCGUAACA
rnacentral:rRNA from 1 species